UCCUACGGGAGGCAGCAGUGGGGAAUAUUGCACAAUGGGGGAAACCCUGAUGCAGCCAUGCCGCGUGUGUGAAGAAGGCCUUCGGGUUGUAAAGCACUUUCAGUUGUGAGGAAAAGUUAGUAGUUAAUACCUGCUAGCCGUGACGUUAACAACAGAAGAAGCACCGGCUAACUCCGUGCCAGCAGCCGCGGUAAUACGGAGGGUGCGAGCGUUAAUCGGAAUUACUGGGCGUAAAGCGCACGCAGGCGGUUUGUUAAGCUAGAUGUGAAAGCCCCGGGCUCAACCUGGGAUGGUCAUUUAGAACUGGCAGGCUAGAGUCUUGGAGAGGGGAGUGGAAUUCCAGGUGUAGCGGUGAAAUGCGUAGAUAUCUGGAGGAACAUCAGUGGCGAAGGCGACUCCCUGGCCAAAGACUGACGCUCAUGUGCGAAAGUGUGGGUAGCGAACAGGAUUAGAUACCCUGGUAGUCCACACCGUAAACGCUGUCUACUAGCUGUGUGUGCCUUUAAGGCGUGCGUAGCGAAGCUAACGCGCUAAGUAGACCGCCUGGGGAGUACGGCCGCAAGGUUAAAACUCAAAUGAAUUGACGG
rnacentral:rRNA from 1 species